rnacentral:lncRNA from 1 species
CUUGUCUAUACAGUAGUUUACAGUAUAGAUAAAAGAUGAAAGGAGCUAGUCGUGUCCAGCGUAAAAUCCUGCAACAUUUGAUGACAAAUUGCAAAUGCUGCAAGACUACCUUCCCGCGUAACCACUGCUGGGAACUGUUGAUUGGAAACUCUUCCACAUAACUGGGAUAUCUGGAACAUACAGGCAGACCGGGAUCGACUUCGUUACUGCUGACACCUGAUUCUUCGCCCAUGUAUACAUAUCGUGAUAGUGUUUAUUACAGUAAUCUUUGUGCUGUAGUGUAUAUUAUGUCUCGUGUACCAUAACGUCAUACUAUCUGCGUUAUGGAAUAAACCUGAAGUGUAUA